rnacentral:tRNA from 1 species
GCCUUCGUGGUGUAAUGGUCAGCACACUCGGCGUGUAUUCGAGAGGACCGAGGUUCGAGUCCCUUGCGAGGGCA